CUCUAGGUGUAGUGGGCGGGCGGUGUUGGGGCGAGCCGGUCCACAAGGAAGACAUAAUGAUGCGAGCAGCGCCCAACUCAUUGCAUGUUCUGCCUUUUGCAGGCCGGACGCAAAAUGGGGGGCACACGGCCCGAUCCGACCCGGCGACGGUCACCAAGAGUAGCUAGCCGCUGUGAUCAAAUGGCGACCGGGACACGAUCAGAUCAGAGGUGGACGGACUGCUGUGGCAUCGCUCUGAAGUAGCAGAGUUCUGAGGGAGGCCCGCUUCGCUGGAGGCGUCAACCUGCGCAGCUUCAACAUGUGAAAUGGAUUUUUUUUUUUAGUUAAUUCAUACCAGCGGUGUCCAAAUGUCUGUUUGAGGGCUGCAUACUGAAACAAAUUAAGAAUGCUUUGACGCAAAUUCAUUAAAUCAAUCACGCAAUGUU